AAUCUCAAUAUCUUAUAUUAAGUUUUUCUAGUCCUAAAUUAUGUAAUAUUUAUUUUAUAACAGAUAACUUACAAUUAUUCAGAAAAGUGGAUUUUUAUGAUCCUGGCUAUAAAACUACAUGUAUUCUGAAGAACGCAUUUAAAAACAUAAGAUUGAUAAAUUUGGAAAAUACGGAUGAAAUAGACUACUUUAUAGAUAACAUCUUUAAACGAUUUCACAUAGAGGCGAAUGUGCCAAAUCC